UAAUGUCUGCAAGGAUAUAAAAUAAAAGCGGAUAUAUUUGAUACUAUAUAUAUAUAUAUAUAUAUAUAUAUAUGUGUGUGAGGUCAAAUCUCGCAUUGACCAAAAGUAGUGAUUUUAGACAUGAAAAUUAAAUAGUCGGUGAAGUGAGAAGAGAACACGAACCAGUAUGUAUGUGGAGUUCUGUUGGUGCUCGACUGUCGGUGAGGUGGAUGGAUUUCUUCUCGACUGUCGGUAAGUGCUGCACUGGUUUUUUUCGGUGAAGGACCAAAUCGACUGAUUUACACCCGGCAGAUUGACGCACCAAAUCGACUGUUGCAAUUCUUUUUUUCGGUGAGGUAAGUGCUGAUGCUAAAAUCGCCAGUAAGUGCUGUAAUUUUGUCCGUGGCCGGCGCCGUGAGAAAGGGUAGCAGGUGGAUGCGAGAUUGGGGGCUAGGGUUCAGUUCGAUCUUCGCACUUCACUCUUCACAGUCAAAGACCAUUUUGAACAAGAGGGAGGAGUUCACGGGAACCACUCGCCGCCCAGCACCCUCGUCGCCCUCCCUCCACCAGCCCCACUACGGGACACACCCUCAACUCGUCGCCGUCCCUCUCAUCGUCCAGCACCCUCAACUCCUACCUCUGUUUCACUGCCCAUCUGCUCAGUAAUAAGAGGUAACUCCGCAAAAGUCUGCUUGGUUGCUGUGAUAAUGUAGGAGAAGGAAAAGAAAACCUAUUUACAGUCAGUAGGAUCUUCUAGGGUUUUAUCAAUUUUUUUGUUUAUUUACUUUCAGGCUGUACUAUUUGUUGAAUCUAUAGUGUUUAGUUCUUUAAGUCAAAAAAAAAAAAAUUAGAAUUUUGUACCAAUUUGGGAGGAUGACUAGGCCUUCUUUUUUUGCCAUAAACAAUACGAUUUUGUUGAAAAGAUAAAAAGGCAUAGCUAGUACACAACACAAGAACAAGAUACAUACAAAAGAAAGAAGGUAAAAAAAAACUAAGAUCUAAACAAAUACCUAAAAGGAGGAAGAAGCAAGACUCCCUAAAGGCACAAAGUCUGAAGCUGUAAUGCAAAUUUAGCAACAAGAGGUAACUCCAACAAUAAUGCAUUUCUACUUUGUUCUUUUUAAGUUCUUUGUACUGAGAGAGGUAAAGUUUGUGGCAGAUUUUUUCUUUCGGAGAUGGGCAUUGGGCUUAGGGCAUGAAAAUGUUAGUGAGUUGCAGAAAAUGCUUUCUUGAAGUUAAUGGUUGCUGGUGGUGAUCUUCGUUGGUAUGAAGUCUCCGUUAGCACAUUAUUUGUAAGUUGUUGAUGACUUGAGUGUUUGGGUAACAAUUGGAUGAGUACUAGAUAUUGGCAGUGCAACUAGAAAUCCUAAACAACUAUCUCGUCUGAGUGCAUUUCAAACCACUGAUCAAGUGCAUUUCUUCUUUCCAAAACCCACAUGGUGGACAGAAAUUAACAAAUAAAAGACUUUAGCGCUGCUUUGUGGCUAGCUUUUAUUCUAUCUCCAUUCAAUGAUAAGUAAGUAAAUUCAUGGAUAAAAAUAAUAUAUGAUACAAAUGCAUAAGUUUGAGGUUGGAAUUCCAACUGUACAAGCUUUUCCCCUAUCAACAACCAACAGGUCAAAGCUUUCCAAACUCAACUAACUCCCACUCUGUUUUUUUUUCCACCAUAAAAAUAAUAAAUAAAAUAGAAGGAGAAAGUGGAACUUACAAAUUCAGUGACCACCAUCACUUUUUUUUUUCCUUCUGAGCACUAAAAUCACAUACAAAAAAGUAUAUAAAGAAACCUUGUCUGCACUAAUAUCUUGACAACUAACAAAUGAAUAGUUAUUAAAUAUAUGAUCAACACACAUUAAAAGCAGCUUUAUAUUUCAACCAUCAAAUCUGGAGUCCAAUCCCAGCAAAAUCUCUGAUGGUAAACCCAACAGCUUCAAACUUCCCCCUCUCAUUGCUCUCUCUGAAUUUCAAGUAGUCCAAAGAGACAAAUGGCUUGUAAAGCCUCAUAUUUCCUUCUCCAAUCACUUCAUUUGGUGCCGUGAUCACUUUUUCAUCCUCAAAGCACCAAAAGAAAGCUAGAGAAAAGUGGUUUGUUGGCUGGUAUGUGGUGGAUUAAUGUUUGUCUCAUUUGAGUAAGUUGCAUAGUGUAAGAUAUUGUACAAUGCUAUAUAAGAUUUGAGUAGGUUGCAAAUUUAUGGAUUAAUGUUUGUCUCGUUUGUCUUAGAUUAAUAGCUCUAAAAAGCCAAAAAGAAUGUUUCAAGGGUGAAGAAGGUUGCUGUGUGAAAUGAUGAAAUUGCCUUUCAACAAUGAAAAACCAGAAAGCUUAUGGUGGAAUUGUCCAAGAAAGGAAAAGGAAUGAAGGAAACUAAUAUGAGAUUUCUGAUCAAAGAAGUAAAAGAUCUAGAAAGACAUGAGAUUUGAGGCGGGAGAUCGUGAUUGAUUGAUUAAAAGACCACAAAGACUACCCAAAAGCUAGAGAAAGGAAAAGAUAGUUAAAAAGGUUUGGAAUAAGGAAAUCUUACCAAAUAGGCAAAAAAAAAACACAGGAUUCUAUGCUUGAAUUGAUAUGGGUUAUGAUAUGGAUUAUGCUUGAAUUGUUUGCCGUGCUUUUGAAUCUAACGCGGAUGUAUAAUUACAGCAUCCUUUUAAAUUUUUUAACAAAUUUUUUCAAAAAGUCCAUUUUUUUUUCCCUAAGAACCUGCCUGAAUGCAGCACCUAUGAUGCCUUCUACCCGCCAUCAACAAAGCUUUGCAGAGCUAGUUGUGGAUAUUGAUUACCCCAUUGGUAAUUAGGAAAUUGCUACUGUGGAUGAAUAUCUAAGCUGCAGCUUGAAUUUUCUGGAGCUUUUCAAUUCCAUUGGUUCCUCUUGCAUAUCUUGGCCAAGCUCGGCUUCUACUGGCUCAUGCUUUGAGCCUUUUGGAGAAUUUACCGUCUAUCGCAAUAGAGCAUCUAAAACCAAUUCAACCAAGAAGUCUCGACUAGGAUCUCGGGAAAGGUGAAACUAAGGAAGAUGGUAAAGAAAAGUUCUACUUUGGCAAGGAAUAGAUUAUUCAUGAAUCUUUAAUCGCCAUGAAUAGCAUAGGAUUCUGGGUAUGUGGGAUUGUGCUGUCUGGUUUAUGAAUUGAUGUAAAGCCAUACUUGGAGAUGAGAAAAUCGGUUGGUGGGUUGGUUUUUUCUUCACUUGUUGAAUUGGAUUCAAGUCUAUAUGAGAUUAUUAUGGAUAAAGGGGCAAUCUUAAAGGAGAUAAAGGAACUGAACGAUGUAGUGGCUUGCCUUCUUGCUGCCUUGGUCAUUAGGAAACACAGCGAAGCAGCUGAAGAAUUGCAAGGAAAGUUGGAGAUAUCAAUCAAACUAUUGGAGGAAUUGCAGAAGGAGGCGGAUCGCCUUCGAGACUGGAAGCAUUAGCAACUUUUGUAAUAUUUUGUUUGUAAAGUUUGAACGCGUGUUGAUUCUGUGAUAUCCGCUCCAAUUAUGUGUAUAUUUUUGCUUUUCUUUCUAAGCAACAAACGCUUGGUUCGGGGAGCGCGCAGAUAAUUGAAGGAAAUAAAAAUUAGAAUUGAUCGACACUGAUCAACUGCUA